CCUGCUUCAGCCUCCCGAGUAGCUGAGAUUACAAGCAUGCAUCACCACGGCCGGCUAAUUUUGUAUUUUUAGUAGAGAGGGGGUUUCUCCAUGGUGGUCAGGCUGGUCUCGAGCUCCUGACCUCAGAUGAUCCGCCCAUCUUGGCCUCCCAAAGUGCUGAGAUUACAGGCGUGAGCCACUGCACCGGCCUGCCACUACUUUCAUUGCCGAAAACCACAAUUACUUUUGCACCGACUACACCUAGCAGCUACUGUUUCUAACUUACAUAUCUAAAAGUAUUGGUUCAGGUCUCAAUGGUACAAUUUAUUCAAUGACAUUAAUAUGCAAAGGGUUUUGUGUUUCUGUAGUGCAGUGGGUUCUCAAAGGACAUUGUCAAAAUCUCUAAGGAGAUUAACCCAAGUUUGUGGGCUGUUUCUGGGAUUUCCAAAAUUUAACAGGCACUGGGGUACAGAAGAAAAAGCAUAAAGGUUGAAGCUGAUAGACGUGGGUACAAACCCUAAUUCGUCUCUCAGCUAGUUUCAAAACAGAAGCAAAGUUAAACUGUCUAGGCUUUAUUUUCUCAUCUUUAAAAUGGGGAAAGAAAUAUUAACUCAGAGGGUUGUGGGGAGACCUGAACUAGAGUAUGCCGGUGGAGCAGCUGGUGAAUGGAAGGUGCUCAAGUCCGCAGGUGUGUCCUCACUCCCUCCAGUAACAAAACAGUGCAGUAGGCCUGCCACACUUGCAGUUUACAUCCUAGAUCCGACCAACUGCAGAUCAAAAAUGUUCAGAAAAAAUAAAAAUAAAAAGCAAGAAUACAACAAUAAAAAUUAUACAAAUAAACAGUAUCACAACCAUUUAAAUAGCACUUACAUUGUAUUAAGGUAUUAUAAAUAACCUAGAGAUUUAGAGUAUUUGGGACAUACAAAUUUGACACCAUAGUAUACGCACCAGAGUAUAUUAGGGACUUGGACAUGGGCGGAUUUUGGUAUCCGUAGGGAAAGAGGCGGGUGUCCUGAAACCCUGGAGGCUUGUGUUAAAAUGCUGUUUGCGGCUGGCCAUAUUGUGCGG
rnacentral:lncRNA from 1 species